GAUGAACGCUGGCGGCGUGCCUAAUACAUGCAAGUCGAGCGAACGGACGAGAAGCUUGCUUCUCUGAUGUUAGCGGCGGACGGGUGAGUAACACGUGGAUAACCUACCUAUAAGACUGGGAUAACUUCGGGAAACCGGAGCUAAUACCGGAUAAUAUUUUGAACCGCAUGGUUCAACAGUGAAAGACGGUCUUGCUGUCACUUAUAGAUGGAUCCGCGCUGCAUUAGCUAGUUGGUAAGGUAACGGCUUACCAAGGCAACGAUGCGUAGCCGACCUGAGAGGGUGAUCGGCCACACUGGAACUGAGACACGGUCCAGACUCCUACGGGAGGCAGCAGUAGGGAAUCUUCCGCAAUGGGCGAAAGCCUGACGGAGCAACGCCGCGUGAGUGAUGAAGGUCUUCGGAUCGUAAAACUCUGUUAUUAGGGAAGAACAAAUGUGUAAGUAACUGUGCACAUCUUGACGGUACCUAAUCAGAAAGCCACGGCUAACUACGUG
rnacentral:rRNA from 1 species